rnacentral:rRNA from 1 species
AGAACGAACGCUGGCGGCAUGCCUAAUACAUGCAAGUCGAACGAACACUUCGGUGUUAGUGGCGCACGGGUGCGUAACGCGUGGGAAUCUGCCCUUGGGUUCGGAAUAACAGUUGGAAACGACUGCUAAUACCGGAUGAUAUCGAAAGAUCAAAGAUUUAUCGCCCAGGAUGAGCCCGCGUAGGAUUAGCUAGUUGG